ACCCUCCGCCAGUCUCCAGACUCCAUUUCCGCCUUCCGCGCCAGCCAAAUCUUCAGCAGCGCCAGCCGCCAGCCAAACUCCCGCUCACUCCCUGUCCGCCAGCCAAACUGCCUCAAACACAGGGUUCAGUUGCAUGCCCAUUUUUUACAUGAAGACAGGCACCUGCAAGUAUGGAGUUACAUGCAGAUUUGAUCACCCGCCACCUUGAGAGGCUAUAGCCAUGGCUGCUGCUGCACAGGGAAGCGGAACUGAAGUUGAUGCAGAACAGAACUAUUUUGAUUGUGGAAUAAUGGAAGGAGAAGGGGAUGAUCAGGGCUCAGGCUGGCUUGAAGUUAAAAAGAAACAUAGAUCCAACUCAAAGCUUUCCAUGCAAAAGGCUUCUGGGGGAUCUUUUAAAAAUAGGCAAACCUUCUCUUCAUUAAGUCAAACUUCAAAAAAUAAUGAAGUUAGAAAUAUGCAUCAUAGGUGCCAAGUCAAGCCAACUAAAGAAGGGCUCGGUUUUGAUGUCCAUUCAAAUGCUUCCUCUGAUAGCCAUGGUUCUUCAGCAGUCCUUCCUGAUCAUGGUAUUGAGUGCCUUGACAAAGUAGUUAUCAAUAAUGGGGGUGGACCCAUUGAGGUGGUCACUUGUACGUCCACAAAGGUUGCAGCCUCAGACAGAAAGCCUAAAGUAAUUCAGGGAGUUCUCGUAAAGGAAAACGUGGAUAUUAUUCCCAAAAUUAAAUGGGGUGACCUUGAAGAAGUUGGUUUGCUACUGUCCAAAGGUUGUGAAAAUUCAAGUAAAAUUGGAAACAGUGAGAGUUUAGAUGGCUCAGAUGGCACCAUGCAGGAACAUGCAGAUGUUGCAGAUUCUGGUGAACCAACAUUAAAUGCGUCAUUAUUCACUCCACCUCAAGUAGGAGAAGUUACAUCUGAAGAUGCGGAAUUGUUUCCUAUACCGCUUUCUUUGGGCGUCCAUGAUGAACGUUCUGAUGAGACCUGGAAGGAAGUUAGUGAGAUUUGUAUCAAAGAUUUGGGAUCGGUGAGUGUUAAUCCAAAGGAUGUAGUUGAAACUAGUAAGGCAGCAGAACUUGAACUUGAUGGUGACUUAGAUCCUGAAGACACAGUUAACGAAACCUGUUCUUCAUCGCCCCUUGGAUCAGUUGAUAAUGUGAUCCCUCAGGAGCCGUGUGACGAGUCUGAGAAUGUAGCACUGAAUGUCUCAGAAAUAUCUAUCACAAAUGAGAAUGCAGGCAUAGUUGAUUACCCUCCAGAUACUAAUUUGCUUUCGCAUCUAAACAAUAGUGUUGAAUUUUCUGUUGAUUCAUCUGUUACAGAAGCCUCAGAAGAUCCAAAUGGGCAAAAGUAUGACCCAACAGAAGCAGUUGAUUUUGAAGAAGGUGAGCAGGGGGAGAGCAAAGAAAGGUUCAGAGAAAGGUUAUGGUGCUUCCUUUUUGAAAACCUCAAUAGAGCAGUAGAUGAACUUUAUCUUCUUUGUGAAUUGGAAUGCGAUGUGCAGCAGAUGAAGGAAGCCAUACUUGUACUUGAAGAAGCUGCAUCUGAUUUCAAGGAACUGAAAUGUAGGGUGGAACACUUUGAGAACAUGAAACGGACUAUUUCCCAAUCAUCUAAAGAUGGUAUGCCAGUAAAUGUGAAAACAGAUCAUCGCAGGCCACAUGCCCUCUCAUGGGAGGUCCGCCGAAUGACAACUUCACCACACAGGGCAGAAAUACUGUCUUCGUCUCUUGAGGCUUUCAAGAAAAUUCAGUCCCAAAGGGCUGGCAAACCUGCAACUCAAGAUGCAAAAUACCUGAGUAAUUCACUUUCAACUAUUCGAUGUGAUCCUAGAAGUUCUCUGAGAAUGCCAUCAGAGAGUAGAACACAAAGUACAACUUCCGAAAAGCAAGGAGGGACUUCAGUUCUGGGAAACACCAAAGUAGAAAAGCUGAAUAUGGAUGCCUCAAGGCAAAGCAGAGUAGGUCUAGUGCGAAAUGGGCGUUUGCCUCUGCAAAGCCAGUCUGCUACUGGUACUGGGAAGCCUAGGAGAGAACCACUAGGACCAGUUUCUGAAACCGAAAAACAGUUAUUAAGAAAGGAUAAAACAUCAGCUGAAAGCAAGGCAGAUAAGCAGUCGAAGAUCACUGAUACUGUCAAAAAGAGCACUUCUUUAGCUGAAAAAGAAAAGGAAAAGGACAAGGAAAAACACAGUGGUGCCCCGUGGAAGCCCAUGGAUGCUUGGAGGGAGAAAAGGAACUGGGAGGAUAUACUUAAAUCUCCAAUGAGAAGUUCUACUCGAGUCUCGCAGUCCCCGGGUCUGGCUAGAAAAGGCAUGGAGCGUGCACGAGUAUUGCAUGACAAAUUGAUGUCUCCUGAGAAGAAGAAAAAGACAGCUUUGGAUUUGAAGAGGGAAGCAGAAGAAAAACAUGCACGGGCAAUGAGAAUUAGAAGUCAACUGGAAAAUGAGAGAGUGCAGAGGCUACAACGCACAUCGGAGAAAUUGAACCGUGUAAAUGAAUGGCAGGCUGUUCGCAGCUUGAAGUUGCGUGAGGGGAUGUAUGCUCGUCAUCAGCGAAGCGAGACUCGACAUGAAGCAUAUUUGGCUCAAGUGGCUAAGAGAGCUGGUGAUGAAAGCAGCAAGGUUAACGAGGUUCGUUUUAUUACUUCCUUAAAUGAAGAGAACAAAAAGCUGAUUCUGCGUCAAAAACUUCAAGAUUCAGAAAUGAGAAGGGCUGAGAAACUACAGGUAAUCAGAAUUAAACAAAAGGAGGAUACAGCAAGAGAAGAAGCUGUAUUAGAACGUAGAAAGCUGCUUGAAGCAGAAAAGUUGCAACGUCUUGCUGAGAUGCAGCGUAGAAAGGAAGAGGCUCAAGUAAGAAGAGAAGAGGAGCGCAAGGCAUCAAGUGCGGCACGUGAAGCAAAGACUCUGGAACAGCAUCGCAAAAAGGAAGUUAGAGCUAGGGCUCAGCUUGAGGAAGCAGAACUACUAGCCCAGAAAUUAGCUGAAAGACUUAGUGAAAGUGAACAGCGUCGAAAAUCUUACCUAGAGCAAAUACGCGAAAAAGCCUCCAUGGAUUUUAGAGACCAGUCAUCACCUCUAUUGCGUCGUUCUGUCAUAAAAGAGGGCCAAAAUCGAUCUAUAUCCGCAAAUAGUGUUGAAGAAUACCAAACUUCAUGCAUUUCUGGCACCGGAGAUUCUUCUAGAGGACUAGUUAAUGUCACACAGCAGCAGUCGUUGAAGCGAAGGAUAAAAAAGAUUCGUCAGAAGCUCAUGUCUCUUAAGUAUGAAUUUAUUGAACCUCCGAUUGGCAGUGAAAGUUUGGGGAUUGGACAUAGAGCUUCAGUGGGAACUGCUAGGGCGAAGAUUGGACGAUGGCUUCAGGAACUUCAAAGACUACGUCAGGCUAGAAAGGAGGGUGCUGCAAGCAUAGGAUUGAUUGUGGGAGAAAUGGUAAAGUUUUUAGAGGGAAAGGACGCAGAGCUUCAUGCUUCUCGCCAAGCUGGUUUGCUUGAUUUUGUAUCUUCUGCACUACCUGCCUCUCACACUUCAAAGCCUGAAGCCUGUCAGGUGACAGGAUACCUCUUAAGACUUCUACGUGUAGCAAUGUCAAUGCCGGCAAACAGGAGUUAUUUUCUUGCACAAAAUCUACUGCCUCCUAUUAUUCCCAUGCUCUCUGCAUCUCUUGAGAACUACAUAAAGAUUGCAGCAUCAACAAGUGGUGGAUGUAGUAAUCUCUUGACAAGUAAAGCAUCAACAGAAAAUUUGGAAACAAUUACUGAAACACUUGAUGGUUUCUUAUGGACUGUGACCACAAUUGUAGGUCAUGCACGUACAGAUGAACGACAACUCCAGAUGCAGGAUGGUUUACUGGAGUUAAUAGUUGCUUACCAAAUUAUUCAUCGGCUCCGUGAUCUGUUUGCUCUUUACGACAGACCACAGGUGGAAGGAUCACCCUUCCCUUCCUCCAUUAUCCUAAGUUUGAAUCUCUUGGCAGUCUUAACCUCCCGACCAAGAACAAUCUCUUCAAUUGAUUGGGAAUCUUGUAUACCUAAAGAUGAAGCAGACAAUAAAUUUCAACAGCCAGAAAGUUUAGCAUCUCAAGGCAUGGGUGAGAUCUCUAUGAUAAGUAGGCCUGCUGCAAUGGAGAUUGCAUAUUUACAGGUGAACGAGUCUGAUAAAGGUGCCAGAGAGUUGCAAUCAGGAAUAUUGUCUAUGCCAGAAAUUCCAAAUCAAAGGCCGUUAGAUGGAGAAUCUAUGAAGGAUUCCUCUGUUACACUGGAUUGUCAGGGCAAUGUUGGGGAUAUCACGUGUGAAGAAAGUGCUACAUGUGAAGUUCAGAACCUUGUGGCUGAAGAACAUGCCAAAUCAGUUCCAGCCCAGAAAAUUGAAAAAAACUCCAUUGAUGGUUGUGUAGAAAGAAAAAGAAUGAAUGAGCAAAAUCUUCAUGAGAAUAAAGAAAGCAAGAAAAUAUGUAGGUUGAAGCAGCCAAUGGCAUUUCUUCUUUCUGUUAUAACAGAGACAGGUCUCGUCGGUCUUCCAUCAUUAUUGACAGCAGUGCUCUUGCAGGCAAACAAUCGAUUGUCAUCUGAACAGAUUGGAUACUUUUUAUGCUGGGUAUCAUCUCCUGAGGAUUAACCACUACCGUCUGAAAGUUGUAGUUCCUGCUUUUGCCAUUGGUUAGUCUGGCAUCUGCUCAUAUCUGUUGUAUUCAUUAUAGGGGACGGGUUUGCGGUGAACCAAAAUUUUGAGAUAUUGUCACAGGACAAAGACAGCUACAAGUAUAAUGAAAGAUAAAAGAACGAAAUCAAAAGACUGGGAAAACAACUUAGGUGAAUUGAUGAACUUAAUCAUGCAGUAGUGUGGACCGACAAUUCUAAUGCACGUGAAGCCUCUUCCUGGGCAUGCCUCUUAUAUUCUUCCGUCAAAUUUUGAAGAAGUGGCUACUGGUGUGCUGAAGGUUUUAAACAAUUUGGCACUCUUGGAUAUUGCUUUUCUGCAAAGAAUGCUG